rnacentral:lncRNA from 1 species
GGGCUGUAGUGUGGGACCCUCUCCCCCCAAAAACAAAACAAAAACAUUAUUUUUUAAUUAUUAAGUUUUCAUACAUGUAUGUAUAUAUUAUAUGUUGAGUGUACCUCUCAUUUGUAUCUGUCAUGGCAUGUCUUUAAGAAUGACUUCUGUCAUGUUUAUGGUUUGCAUUCACUUUUUUACAAUGUGCCUAUUUAUGGCUUUGGGAUAUUGUUUCUGAGGAGAGGUCACCUCUGUCACUGAGGUAAUAGGACAUUUGUAACCAACUGUACUGCUUAAAUUCUUGAAUUUGGUUCUAUAGACAACAUAUUUGCAGAAUAGUUAUUUAUGUUUUAAUCCAAACGGAUUACAGGAUUACAGUAACAACUCUGGUGGUCCUUACAUACCAACAGUCUUUAUAGUCCUAACUCAGAAGCCACUGAAGUGCACAUUAGACCUUAAGAUUAUAGAGGAAACUAGAGGCAGUUCCACAACUAAGACAAUGGGAGGUGUGAUGCCUGGUAAGCAUGACCCCUACUUCUUCACUAAAACUUGACAAAACUCACAUUAUUGGGUAUUUGCCUUAUUUUGGCCAUUUCUCCAGAAUUUUAACAUACUCUUGGAGCCUUAAGGAUCUUGUUAUGCAAUAUUGCUUUCCACAACUGCAGAAAGUAGAAAAUUCCUAGGUAAGUCCCAAGUAUGGAACAAGAACCCCUGUUUACUUAGAGAAUAUGGGUAAAGUAUGUAGGCUUUCAGAUAAGUUCUUCCUCUUGUGAGAGGAUUUGCAUCAGAAAAUUAGUGAUAAGGUCAUCUCUUGGUUUCACAAAAAUCUCAAGAUGCUAAAUGGCAAAGAUUUACUCAGUAAUGAUUCCAGUAUUUGCUCCCACACAAGUACUAAUAACCAUGACAGCUAAGGCAAGUUCAAGGUGAUGGGAUGAUUUUCCUAUACUGUGCUCAAUCCUUGGUUGUAAGGAGCCUUGUAACAAAAGUGGUGUCCCUUUCAUUGUCCCUACAAUGUAACAAGUUUCUGCAUUUUCUCAUUGGAGGGGAUAAUAUCUACACUACAGGCUCAUGAUGAUGCUGACCACAUCUCCUGGUACCUUCAACCAGGAUUUCUAGACCAACAGCAGUAUGAAUGAGGGAGACUAACAGAAUUACAGAAUUUGCUAAUAACAUUAUUUUACAUUAACAGUGGGAAAGAGUUAUCUCAAUAAUUUAAAAUGAUUUUGUAUUAUAUACAUGAUUGUUUAAAGACAUUAGUAAACCAAGUUUUUAUGUAGACUAUCCUUGCCAUAUGAUACUUAAAACUCUUAUAAAAUGUAAUUUAAAACCUCAAAGUUGGAAUGUGCCCGGUGUUUUUUGCUCACGUCACAGCAGUAAACAAGGCUAUAGAGUUUGGCUGUGAUUUAUUUUAGGGAGUUUGCAAAGAAGAAAGCUUUGAGACUUUAUUCAAAACAGUUUGGGUUUGGGUUUUUUUGUUUGGGUUUUGUUUUAAGAGGUUUUUCUGUGUAGCCCUGGCCUGGAGCUCCCUCUGUAGACCAGGCUGGCCUCAAACUCUCCAGGUCUGCCUGCCUCUGCCUCCUGAGUGCUGAGACUAAAGGUGUGUGUCACCAUGCCUGGCUAAGACAGUUUUAUUAAAUUAUUCAUCAGUUAGUGAAAUUAGUUCUCUAACAUAAUUAAGAAAUUAAAAUAUAGGAAAUAAGUCUUUUAAGGCAAAGGAAAUGUAGUAUUUGGGCCACUCAGGGGAUUGAAAUUGGAUUAGAUUUCCUAGGCGUGAUGGUUAUGUGCCUGUAAUCUCACCAUGUAUGAGGUGAGGGCAGGAACAGGAGUUGAAGGUCAUACGUGUUGAGCUGCAUAGGCUCUGAAGCUGAGUAGGGCUCUAUGAACCCUGUCUCUAAGGGGGUGGGGUCUUAGAUGAGAGAGAGGAGACUGUUGGAUUGGAUGAGUUUUGAGACUACAGAUCUGAUGACCUGGGCUUGAGCCAUCUUGCUGUUCCCUGAUGCAGUUCUUCUCCUUUGACACCUUUCCUAAAUGCUAUCUAUUUCAUCAGACCAUUUAUUUCAGAUUUCAAGGUUUUCAGAAAAGGAGGCACAUCUCAUUUUGUAUUAAAUAUAAUAAGUUCAUAAGUUAUUAUUGGCAAACGUUAUCAGAUUUAGUCACAAUCUGAAUUCUCUUAUUGAACAAGAAAAAUAAGUCAAUGUUUUACUGUCCUCCUCUUAGCAAGAUGAAAAAUUGCUCUUUUCAAUGUAUCACAUUGUAUCCUUUCUCCUUCCAGCAUCUUCCCUUUAUGUGUCUUUGCUCAGGCAACCACUGGCAUAGAGUAUUGAAAAACAUGCAGUGCUUUUGUAUAGGCCAUCUGUACAUAAAAGUGUAAUUAUUUAUUUAAUUUUCCCAUUUGUACCAUAUUAAAGCUUUGUACAGUGUUUUAAGUUCUGUUUUAAAAUUAUUUUGUAUUUUAUUUUUAUAAUCUAGUAAUAAAACAUUCAGUCCGCAUGCAAA